UCGCUCGCGCGGACACACGUUGCUGUGCUCACAAGAGGAGGAAGAGUCACGCAAAACGAACUUAUGAACAUAUAGCCGUCCUCACUCGCUAUGACCCCAUGAAACUUUGCCACAUAUGAGGAGGAAGCCGUGGUCCUGCAAAAAGUGGUCUCCCAUGAAAAAAAUGGCAUGCAUGGAGAGUGCGCCUUUGUGCAGUUGCAACGCCAACCUACGGCGCUACUUAUUGGACAACUCCACAUGCUCCACCUUCGAAGACGUACGAAGACGCAUCCCCAUCCAAAAAAAGACACCAGCACAGAGAGAACUGGUGGCAAGUUUUUCCAGUCUUUGGCGGACCGCUCGUCGAUAAAGGUUGCGAAAUGCACCAGCGGCCGUUGACCUCGCGGCCUAUUGACAUUCGGGAAGAAUUCGAGACGCUCCAGUGGAUCACAUGGCAUCCAUCGUGGUCAUGCAUUGCAUGAUACGAUUCACUUAUAGGAAAAGUUGUUCGUGCAAUACGAAAGUAUAUUUGUGUCAGGCCGUCGUCAAAUAUGUCUGAAAGUGCACGUUUAUGGUCACGGUCUUCCUUGUACGUCGAAAUAACUGGUGGUCUUAAGGCACAAUCCAAUCAAACUGAGGAAAAGCAGAAUUUUGUGGAUGUUCUUGCAAUGAGUGGUUCCACAAAAUUCUGCGACAUGGAUGCGAGAUAAAGUCCUCAGCCACCCAAGCAGCACAAUGUACUGAAAGUCGAGUGCAAUAGGGGUGGACGGGUGGGUGGAAGGCCUUGAACAGACUCCUGAAGCUAAAGAACAUUGAUAAGACACAUACCGUCCACCCCUAUUGCACUCGACUUUCGGUACAUUGUGCUGCUUGGGCACCUACAUUCUCGAUGGAAGAAAAUUCUGUCAAACUCGCGUUUGUACGCAUUUCUUUCUUUCUUUAUCUUUUUUUUAUGUUUGCUCAAUAGCAUGACCAAUUGUUUGUCUGGCAGCAUUUAUAUCGUGCUAAAAAUACUCGUUUAUGUGACAACAGACACCGACUACGCAUCUUUUUCUUGGUACCUAAACAUUGGGAAAGUGCGACUUGUCGGGUUCCUUCCUAGGACUCGUUCCUCCCAUUAGCAGAGGAGGAACAAUUGACAGCCUUUCUUUGUGAGCUGCAGUGCAACGUAAGAUGCACUGGUUGACGUAAUAGUUAGACAUCCUCCAACGGCGCCCUGGAAACUAGAGCUCAAAUACGGACCUCGCAGGCGUAAAUGUUGUUCAGCAGUUGCAGCAGCAACAUUUUGCAAAU